rnacentral:lncRNA from 1 species
UGAUAAAAGUAACUCAUUAUGUACCUUUGCAUUCAAAGUCCAUUUUCCCUCUUCGAUCCUAAUUGGCCUCACUCUUCUAAAUUGCUAUGCUUUGUUUUAUGAUUGAAAUGGCUGAAUUGUGUUCACAAUAGUUACUUGUAGAGUGGCAUUUUGAAACCUCAGUUUGUCUUUUUGAGGUUUGCCUUAGUUGGAAAAUUAUCUUAGUCGAUAUGUUCAAGAGAGAAUUGAAGAUUAUAGCUUUGUUUGACCCGCAAAAGUGACAUACAGAGGCAUAAAAGUUUUGGAGCAGCUCAGCUGAGGUAAGAAUAUUGGACAAGUGUUGGCUGUUUAGUAACAAUUACCAGGCUCCAAAAUUUUUAAGAAAAGUGUGGACCAAAUACAAAAUGAGUUGAGUACUUAAUUAAUUAAUAAACUACCCGAUAGAAGAUGAAAUUCAUUAUGUUAGUUUGAUUGCUUGUACAUGACCACGACUAUUUGGUAAUGGCGAUUAUUUUUAAGACGUAAGAUUAUUAAAGGCUACUUAUUAAUAAAGCUUAUGCUUAAAAUGGGAUAAAAAUUCCUUAUAUAAUGUGAGUUUUCUUUGAUUUUUAAAAUUUUAUGUCAUAUGUGUAUUACUAUUGCUCGUGUGUAUUAUAAAUUUAUUUCUUUUUUUUUUUCUAUUCUAUUCAUAAACAAUCACGUUGCUGCAAAGAGCGUAUCUGAAGAAAAUCAUUGGGCUGAGAAUGUGUAUAAACAACUUGGGCUUUAUGCUCCAGCCUAGAAAAUUUAGAAAAGGCCAGGCCCUUACACGAAAGUAACGCAGGGUGGGCCCACUGUUACCAUGGAAAAAAAAAUCUCAGGGCCGAAGUUAUUUAAAACUUAAAUGGCUACAUAAAAAGACUGAAAUCGCCUCGAACAACAAAAUUGCUAUUUCUUUUAUGGUGCGUCUAUUUUCUGGAUUAGGGAAUGAGAAUUUGGAAUUGAAAUGAUUGAUGACAUUUACUUCAUAAAAAUAAAAAAGGAAUUAGAAUUGAAAUGGUGGGGCCCACAACUAUUUGGGAAUGAGGAAUGAGAGAUUAAUUCUCACCUCCCAUGGAAUCAAUCUCUCAUUUUUAGAAAUUCUCAUUUUGCCCCAGUCAUAUUCAAGUAUUCCUAAACUACCCUCAUUAAAUAAAAAAUAUAAAUACAAAAAAAAAGGCAAAAUCCCUAGAACCCGAUCUUUUUCUCUUCAAAGCUGGAUGUCAUAGCAUAAUCGUGGUCAGUCACCCGUCGGUUUUGAAAAUCACACGCCGUUGUCGUCGGUUCUGAAUCACUGCCCAUCGUCGUCACAGCUAAUCCCUAUCGUUGUCUCUUAAAUCGCCGGUUCGUGGUCGUUGGUCUCGUUGUGGGUUCUGUCGUUGCCACUCGUCUUUGCCUCCCGUUCACCGCUGACCGAAAGCUUCCAGUCACCAUCAUCACUGUUGCAGGUAUCAAUGAGCUCAGCCCAUUUUGUUCUUCAUCAUUUUUUUGAGUUAAUUAAAUGAUUAUUUAUUUAAUUAUUGGAUUAUUUUAUUUG